rnacentral:tRNA from 2 species
GCCGGUGUGGCGGAAUUGGUAGACGCAGCGGAUUCAAAAUCCGCCGCUGUAACAGGCGUGUCGGUUCGAGUCCGACCACCGGCA